rnacentral:misc_RNA from 1 species
UGGUGCUGCCUUUGCUAGAAAAUUCAAACAAGAUGACCCUGUCUUGGAUAAGAUUGAUAAGGAUUUACUUGGCCGGAAAAAUGGGGGCUUCACUCCCGGUGGAUGGUGCUCUGAUAGUCCCAAAUGUUCCAAGGUUGGGGACCUGAAUAAUAUUAAACCUGGUCCAGGAGCUGACAGAUUUAAACGACUCAUAGCUAGGGUAGCUUUCAUGUCAAGGCUUAAACAAAAUCAGUGUAAAUAGAUUUCUCAAAAAGUUCAUGCUUGCAGAUGGAGAAGGAUUCAAAGUUCUGUAGGCAAGCCAGACAGCACUUUAUUAGAAGAUUCUUCUCUAAGAAAACGAUUUGGUUGCCCGAGUUGCAGCCACAGUUGCAUUAUUGUCAAGAAUUGAAGGUAUGCUAGUGUCAUUACAAUCAUAAGGAAUCACACUCUUUACUGCAGUGGUCACAGUCUAAU